UACGGAGGGAGCUAGCGUUGUUCGGAAUUACUGGGCGUAAAGCGCACGUAGGCGGCUUUGUAAGUUAGAGGUGAAAGCCCGGGGCUCAACUCCGGAACUGCCUUUAAGACUGCAUCGCUUGAAUCCGGAAGAGGUGAGUGGAAUUCCGAGUGUAGAGGUGAAAUUCGUAGAUAUUCGGAAGAACACCAGUGGCGAAGGCGGCUCACUGGACCGGUAUUGACGCUGAGGUGCGAAAGCGUGGGGAGCAAAACAGGAUUGAGAUA
rnacentral:rRNA from 1 species